UCACCAGUAUAUAUAAACCUUUACAUCUGGCCGCCCUUUCUUCAUAAUCUACGAUCUCUAUCUCAAUCAAAUUUCACAAACACACAACUUCAAAACUUGAAAACUUCAAAUCGAAAUCAAAUGGCGUGCAACGAUCCAGAGCACAGAGAAGAAGAAUAAACCGCACCAGCAGAAGACCAAAACCGUUUAUCAUUAAACUCUUUCAAAACACUCUCUCACACACACACACACAUAGAAACAGACCAAAAAUAUUCCGAUCCAAAGAAAUAAAUUAAAUUAAAUUAAAAAUAUGUCGGGUCGGCAUGAUAAAGGUGUGAAUGUUCAGGUUCUACUGCGAUGCAGGCCGUUUAGUAAUGAGGAAGUUAAGAACAAUGCACCAGUGUAAUGAGUUAUGAAACUUGCCUAACAUGGUCUUUGUGAAGUUGCGGUUGCUAUGUUGAAUCUGUAAUCAAGCUUCACAUGUUUAACUAAAUUGGAAAUUAGUGACAGAUACAUCCUCAGCUCAAGCAAGGAGAGCCAAAGACAUUCAAGGCAUUCCAUGGGAACGAUUAAAUAUAAUAAGAGAUAGUUACAGGCAAACACAGCUGGAGUAGUACAGAAACUAUGAAAACAUCCCGUUAUCGGGUGAUAAAGUUGAUAGGGAAUGUAAACAGAAGCAGAAGGGUGGCAACUACUAUGAGUUUUUCCACAAUACAAGAUUGGUGAAGCCUACAAUCCUCCACUUUCAGCUAAGGAACCUUGUUUGGGCUACCUCAAACCUUGUUUAGGCGAGGAACGGGCUAAGGGUCGACCACUCCGUUUAGUCUGAGUCUCUAAAGGCCAUAAACUCGAGAAUCCACUAUGCGACAUUACUAAGAGACUAAAAAGACCUGCGGUUGCUUUGGUGUCUACCAACGGGACAUGGAUCAAGUAAGCACAACCACAUCUUUGGAAGAUUUAGAUACAUUUGGAUUUUAAGGAUAAUCAGUUAUUCUACCAUCAUAUGAAAAUAGAUUACCCGAAGACAAUGAACAUCUUUGCUAUACAUUCUAAAAAUUCUCAUUUGGUCUUAGAAGUGGAAAACUCAACCCCUUAAUAGAUAAAGGGUCAAUUUGGGUAAAUUUUAUACCUCUAACGGGUCAAAUGAGUUAAAUUAAAAAAGGUUGUAAAAUAGGAAACAUCUUAAAUGGGUCAAAAUAGCCAUUUGAUUGUGUUCAAAUGCAUGAAAUUAUAAAAUGUAGUUGAUUGCAGUUUUGGAAGAAAAAGUGUAUUAUUUUCUUAAAAGUGUCGGUUUUAUAACAUAAUGGUAAUAAAUCAUAUUCAUAGAACUAACAAUGAACAUGAAAGUGCUUGAGUGUCAACACAAAACUUGCCCGAUACUAAUAAGUACGAUAAUUAACAACUAAUAUCCCUUAACUAGGAAACAAAAUUCAGGUUUUCAGCUUACUACAUAACUAGGAAACAUUAU